CAGUUCUCCUGCCUCAGCCUCCCGAGUAGCUGGGACUACAGAUAAUGCUGCAGUGAACAUGGGAGUGCAGAUAUCUCUUCAGGAUCCUGAUUUCAAUCCCGUUGGAUAUAUACCUAGAAGUGGGACUGCUGGAUCAUAUGGUAGUUCUAUUUUUAAUUUUUUGUGGAACACUCGUACUGUUUUCCAUAGCAGCUGCACCAUUUUCAUUCCCACCAUCAGGGCACGAGAGUUCCAGUUCCUCCCCAUCCUCACCAACUCAUUAUUUUGUUUGUUUGUUUGUUUUUGUUUUUUAUAGUUUCCACAUUUACUAUCUUUCAUCUUUUUGAUAACCAUUCUAACUGAGGUGAGGUGAUGCUUCAUUUUGGUUUUGAUUUGCAUUUCCGUGAUGAUUAGUGAUGUGGAGCAUCUCUGUUUGCUUGUUGGCCAUUUGCGUGUCUUCUUUAGAGAAGUCUCUAUUCAUGUCAUUAGCCCCUUUCUUAAUUGGGUUAUUUCAUUUUUUGUUGAGUGUAGGAGUUCUUUAUAUACUCUGGAUGUUAACCUCUUACUAGAUACAUGGUUUGCAAAUAUUUUCUCCCAUUCUGUAGGUUACCGUUUCACGCUUACUGUUUACUAUGCGGAAGUUAAGUUUAAUAUGGUCUCAUUUGCCUGCUUUUUGUUUCAUUGUCUGUUUUUGGUGUCAUAUCCAAGAAAUCAUUGCCAAAUUCAA